AGCAGCCGCGGUAAUUCCAGCUCCAAUAGCGUAUAUUAAAGUUGUUGCAGUUAAAAAGCUCGUAGUUGAACUUCGGGGUUUACUCAUUGGUCAGGCUUAAUUGUCUGCACUGGUGAGAUGAAUCUCUACCUUCUGAGGAACUUUCAUGCCAUUUAUUUGGUGUGAUUGGAAAUCAGGACUGUUACUUUGAAAAAAUUAGAGUGUUUAAAGCAGGCUAACGUCUGAAUACAUUAGCAUGGAAUAAUGAAAUAGGACGGAUUGAUUCUAUUUCGUUGGUUUCUAGGGUCACCGUAAUGAUUAAUAGGGAUAGUUGGGGGCAUUAGUAUUCAAUUGUCAGAGGUGAAAUUCUUGGAUUUAUUGAAGACUAACUACUGCGAAAGCAUUUGCCAAGGAUGUUUUCAUUAAUCAAGAACGAAAGUUAGGGGAUCGAAGACGAUCAGAUACCGUCGUAGUCUUAACCAUAAACUAUGCCGACUAGGGAUCGGACGAAGUUAAUUAAUAAUGACGCGUUCGG
rnacentral:rRNA from 1 species